AAGAUAGAGGCGCAUCGUCUCAUCAGUAGCCGCGGCAAAACCGGAUUCUCGCAAAAUUCCGCCGUCGGUGAAAGGGAGCGUUGCCGAAAGGAGCUUCGGCGGAAGCUUUCUUGGGCACAUGAAAUAAGAUUCAUGUGACUGUCGCGUUUUGCGGAGUGCUAUUAU
rnacentral:ncRNA from 1 species